CCUACGGGAGGCAGCAGUGAGGAAUAUUGGUCAAUGGGCGUAAGCCUGAACCAGCCAAGUCGCGUGAGGGAUGAAGGCCCUAUGGAUUGUAAACCUCUUUUAUAAGGGAAUAAAGUGCGGCACGUGUGCCGUUUUGUAGGUACCUUAUGAAUAAGGAUCGGCUAAUUCCGUGCCAGCAGCCGCGGUAAUACGGAGGUUCCGAGCGUUAUCCGGAUUUAUUGGGUUUAAAGGGUGCGUAGGCCGCCUUUUAAGUCAGCGGUGAAAGGCUGUGGCUCAACCAUAGAAUUGCCGUUGAAACUGGGUGGCUUGAGUAUGUUGAAGGCAGGCGGAAUGCGUGGUGUAGCGGUGAAAUGCUUAGAUAUCACGCAGAACCCCGAUUGCGAAGGCAGCAUACGAAGGCACUACUGACGCUGAAGCACGAAGGCGUGGGGAUCGAACAGGAUUAGAUACCCUUGUAGUC
rnacentral:rRNA from 1 species